rnacentral:rRNA from 1 species
AGGCUCGUCAAUCGAAAUGAGUACAAUUUAAAUCCUUUAACGAGUACCAAUUGGAGGGCAAGUCUGGUGCCAGCAGCCGCGGUAAUUCCAGCUCCAAUAGCGAAUAUUAAAUUUGUUGCAGUUAAAAAGCUCGUAGUUGGAUCCAAGGUUAGGCAUGCCUGUCUGUUCUUAGUAGCAUGACUGUGUGUGUCUGCCUUUAUUAGUUGAAUGUUCAUUAUGGUGGUCUUCAUCGACUGCUAUGAUGUGCUCAACACGUUUACCUUGAAAAAAUCAGAGCGAUCAAGGCAGGCCUUCGUGCUUGUAUGUUGUUGCAAGGAAUAAUAGAAUAGGACUUCGGUUCUAUUUUGUUGGUUUUGAGAAUUGAAGUAAUGAACAAUAGAGACAGUCGGGGGCAUUUGUAUGGUGGCGUUAGAGGUGAAAUUCUGAGAUCGUCGCCAGACAAACUACUGCGAAAGCAUUUGCCAAGGAUGUCUUCAUUAAUCAAGAACGAAAGUCAGAGGUUCGAAGACGAUCAGAUACCGUCCUAGUUCUGACCAUAAACGAUGCCGACCUACAAUCGGGGGUGGUUUAUUAUAUUGACCCUCCCGGCUGUCCUCAGGAAACUUUAAGUUGGUUCUGGGGGGAAUAUGGUCUCAAGACUGAAACUUAAAGGAAUUGACGGAAGGGCACCACCAGGAGUGGAGCCUGCGGCUUAAUUUGACAACACGGGGAAUCUCACCCGGUCCGGACACUGGUAGGAUGGACAGAUUGAUAGCUCUUUCUUGAUUCAGUGGGUGGUGGUGCAUGGCCGUUCUUAGUUGGUGGAGUGAUUUGUCUGGUUAAUUCCGAUAACGAACGAGACUCUGUCCUGCUAAAUAGUCCAGUGGCAUCAAUCACUAUGUGAUUACAGCUGCUGUUACUUCUUAGAGGGAUUCGCGGAUUUAAACCGCAAGAAAUAGAGCAAUAACAGGUCUGUGAUGCCCUUAGAUGUCCGGGGCCGCACGCGCGCUACAUUGACAGUAGAAGCGAGUAUUUCUACCUGGUUCGAAAGAAUUGGGAAAUCUUCGAAUUACUGUCUCCACAGGGAUUGAGGUUUGCAAUUUUGCCUCAUGAACGAGGAAUUCCUAGUAGGCGCAAGUCAUCAGCUUGCGUCGAUUACGUCCCUGCCCUUUGUACACACCGCCCGUCGCUACUACCGAUUGAGUGCAUUAGUGAGGACCUCGGAUUGAGAACAUAGUGGCGCAAGUUACUUUGUUUUCGAAAAGUGGUUCAAAUUUGUGCAUUUAGAGAUAGUAAAAGUCGU